rnacentral:rRNA from 1 species
AUUGAACGCUGGCGGAAUGCUUUACACAUGCAAGUCGAACGGCAGCACGGGAGCUUGCUCCUGGUGGCGAGUGGCGAACGGGUGAGUAAUGCAUCGGAACGUGCCCAUUUGUGGGGGAUAACUAGUCGAAAGACUAGCUAAUACCGCUUAAGCUCGAGAGAGGAAAGAGGGGGAUCGUAAGACCUCGCGCAGAUGGAGCGGCCGAUGUCCGAUUAGCUAGUUGGUGAGGUAAAGGCUCACCAAGGCGACGAUCGGUAGCUGGUCUGAGAGGACGACCAGCCACACUGGGACUGAGACACGGCCCAGACUCCUACGGGAGGCAGCAGUGGGGAAUUUUGGACAAUGGGGGCAACCCUGAUCCAGCCAUUCCGCGUGUGGGAAGAAGGCCUUCGGGUUGUAAACCACUUUCGGACGGGAAGAAAUCGACGUGACGAAUAAUCGUGUCGGAUGACGGUACCGUAAGAAGAAGCACCGGCUAACUACGUGCCAGCCGCCGCGGUAA